GAUGAAGAACGUAGCGAAAUGCGAUACUUGGUGUGAAUUGCAGAAUCCCGUGAACCAUCGAGUCUUUGAACGCAAGUUGCGCCCGAAGCCUCGGCUAAGGGCACGUCUGCCUGGGCGUCACGCAUCGCGUCUCCCCCAAACCGCCAAGGCGGAGGGGAAGGAAGAUGGCUUCCCGUGCCUCACCCGGGCGCGGUUGGCCUAAAUUUGGAGCCCGCGGCACUUAGCUCUCGCGGCGAUAGGUGGUGAACAAGGCCUUGGCCGUGCAAACAACCCGCUGCGAAGCUCUAUGUCACGUGCGCUCGUCGGACCCUUUGAAGUUGCCUUUGGUGACUUAAAACCUUUGCGACCCCAGGUCAGGCGGGGCUACCCGCUGAAUUUAAGCAUAUCAAUGCGGAGGA
rnacentral:misc_RNA from 1 species